rnacentral:rRNA from 1 species
AGAGCGAACGCUGGCGGCAGGCUUAACACAUGCAAGUCGAGCGGGCGUAGCAAUACGUCAGCGGCAGACGGGUGAGUAACGCGUGGGAACGUACCUUUUGGUUCGGAACAACACAGGGAAACUUGUGCUAAUACCGGAUAAGCCCUUACGGGGGAAAGAUUUAUCGCCGAAAGAUCGGCCCGCGUCUGAUUAGCUAGUUGGUGUGGUAACGGCGCACCAAGGCGACGAUCAGUAGCUGGUCUGAGAGGAUGAUCAGCCACACUGGGACUGAGACACGGCCCAGACUCCUACGGGAGGCAGCAGUGGGGAAUAUUGGACAAUGGGCGAAAGCCUGAUCCAGCAAUGCCGCGUGGGUGAAGAAGGUCUUCGGAUUGUAAAGCCCUUUCGACGGGGACGAUGAUGACGGUACCCGUAGAAGAAGCCCGGCUAACUUCGCGCCAGCAGCCGC